ensembl:lncRNA
ACGCCCGAGAGUGCGCAUGCGCACCGCGGCUGGCCCGCUCUCCGAGGAGCUUUCGAUACUUUGGGGUCAAGUUUGAGGCAGUUGCCUUGCCUCCUGGAUGGCAUUUUUGAACCCACCCUGGGCCGGAGGGGAGCCCACUUCUUUGAAGACAGAAACACAGGACUGGCAGCAUUUACCAGUCUGGUUCUGUUGCCCAGGCUGGAGUGCAAUGGUUUGAUCUCGGCUCACUGCAACCUCCGCCUUCCGGGUUGAAGCGAUUCUCCUAUCUCAGUUUCCAAAUAGCUGGGAUUACAGGCACCCACCAUGAGGGCCUCUUUCUGCUUAGUGGCCGUGGCCCUCCAUUAUUUCAGCAAUGGAUUGUUUCUUCGGACCACCUUUGACCAGCCUGUCACUUCAUGGACACCCUGCAGGGAGUUUCCAUAGAACAGCUCCAGCCGACCCGACCCUCUACUGAAUUUUCCAGAUACCCAGUGGAUUCCUCUUAUGAAUGAGCUCUGGCUGCAACCUCUGGCAAGUUUGUUGGCCAUAGAGUGGAGAAGGAACAGUUUUUCCAUUUCCCUGGAAAGAAUUGAGUGAAGUUGACAGCAGGAUUGCAGAAGUGGGAGCACCCAAGGACCAACUGCCUGUGGAAAGGUGCUAGAAGCUACUGACUAGAGGUCUCCUGUGUGCUCAGAGCUGGACACUCUUUGGGACAACCUGCCUGUGGAAAGAAGCUACCCACUUCAGGUCUCCUGAGAGCUGUUCUGUUCCUCAAUGAAGCUCCUCUCUGCCUUGCUCACCCUCCAGUUGUCUGCAGAACUUAUUCUUCCUGGAUGUGGGACAGGCUGCAGAUGAUAAGGAGAGAAGAGAAGAGCUGUAGCCCUUUAGGGAUCCCAGACCUUAGGGGCUCUUCAGGUGUGGGAUCUGGACCAGAAGCAUGAGCCAACUGCAGCCUGCCGGGCUGAGUGGGCAGAAGGAGCCCAGCAGGUGUGAACAAUACUCAGGCAGAAAGCACUGCCAGCCACAGAGGUUUCCAGUUGGCAAAGCAACACCCCAAGGAUCCCAUGACAGUAAUAUUAUAAAAGGUGAUAGAUGAACCUACAAGACUAUCGCCAGCUAUGAUGCACUGUUAUCACAAAAGUUGUAACGAUUUGUACCUCAGAGUCACAAAUGUUUUAAAUGACUACCAAAAUGAAUUUUAGGAAAGUAUAUAGCAUGGUAAUGGCUUUCAUAGUGGUACCAGGAUAAAAAUUAAAACACAAUUGUAAGUUUUUAAAUUUAUUAUUGAAAUAAACUGGUGAUUUGGUGCGGUUAUUCCCAAUGUAACAGAAAUGUCUCUGUUAAACUGUAUCUCCAGAUUUAUGAUUUCUACUAAAUAAUAUUAUUAAAUAAUAUUACAACUAUCUAUUUUUUUAGUGCUGUAAUAGAGACUGUUUUGCUCAGGAAAUCCAUGAUAACCUUUUCUUAGUCUCACAGCAAGACUGUAGUUUCCAGGUUCCUUGCUUUAGGUAUUGCCACAUGACUGGGUUCCAGAAUAAAUAGAAUAUUCUGGAGCCUGUACUGGUAUACAGCAGUUCCAUGUCUGACCUAUAUAGAACAUGCAGUCCUCACUUUCUUUACUCACCUACUGGCUGAAUUGAGAGGAAUCUAAGCAUAUAGAAGAUGACAGAGCCUCAAGAUGUAAAGAAACUUUGUCACUGAAUGACUGUGUAGAACAGAGUCCCUCAUUCGACUGUAAAUUGUUGAAAGUUAAGCCACUGAAAUUAUGGAAUUACUUGUUAAAGUUUUCGUUUAUUCUUAUAAAUACAAACACCUGAAAAAAAAUCAAUAAAAGUAAGAUACCAA